rnacentral:rRNA from 1 species
CUCCACUUCGGGAGGCAGCAGUGAGGAAUAUUGAUCAAUGGGCGGAAGCCUGAACCAGCCAAGUCGCGUGAGGGAAUAAGGCCCUACGGGUCGUAAACCUCUUUUGCCGGGGAGCAAGGGCGGGGACGUGUCCCGGCCCGGAGGGUACCCGGAGAAAAAGCAUCGGCUAACUCCGUGCCAGCAGCCGCGGUAAUACGGAGGAUGCGAGCGUUAUCCGGAUGUAUUGGGUUUAAAGG